GACGAACGCUGGCGGCGUGCUUAACACAUGCAAGUCGAACGGAAAGGCCCUGCUUUUGUGGGGUGCUCGAGUGGCGAACGGGUGAGUAACACGUGAGUAACCUGCCCUUGACUUUGGGAUAACUUCAGGAAACUGGGGCUAAUACCGGAUAGGAGCUCCUGCUGCAUGGUGGGGGUUGGAAAGUUUCGGCGGUUGGGGAUGGACUCGCGGCUUAUCAGCUUGUUGGUGGGGUAGUGGCUUACCAAGGCUUUGACGGGUAGCCGGCCUGAGAGGGUGACCGGCCACAUUGGGACUGAGAUACGGCCCAGACUCCUACGGGAGGCAGCAGUGGGGAAUAUUGCACAAUGGGCGGAAGCCUGAUGCAGCAACGCCGCGUGCGGGAUGACGGCCUUCGGGUUGUAAACCGCUUUCGCCUGUGACGAAGCGUGAGUGACGGUAAUGGGUAAAGAAGCACCGGCUAACUACGUGCCAGCAGCCGCGGUGAUACGUAGGGUGCGAGCGUUGUCCGGAUUUAUUGGGCGUAAAGGGCUCGUAGGUGGUUGAUCGCGUCGGAAGUGUAAUCUUGGGGCUUAACCCUGAGCGUGCUUUCGAUACGGGUUGACUUGAGGAAGGUAGGGGAGAAUGGAAUUCCUGGUGGAGCGGUGGAAUGCGCAGAUAUCAGGAGGAACACCAGUGGCGAAGGCGGUUCUCUGGGCCUUUCCUGACGCUGAGGAGCGAGAGCGUGGGGAGCGAACAGGCUUAGAUACCCUGGUAGUCCACGCUGUAAACGGUGGGUACUAGGUGUGGGGUCCAUUCCACGGGUUCCGUGCCGUAGCUAACGCUUUAAGUACCCCGCCUGGGGAGUACGGCCGCAAGGCUAAAACUCAAAGGAAUUGACGGGGCCCCGCACAAGCGGCGGAGCAUGCGGAUUAAUUCGAUGCAACGCGUAGAACCUUACCUGGGUUUGACAUGGAUCGGGAGUGCUCAGAGAUGGGUGUGCCUCUUUUGGGGUCGGUUCACAGGUGGUGCAUGGCUGUCGUCAGCUCGUGUCGUGAGAUGUUGGGUUAAGUCCCGCAACGAGCGCAACCCUUGUUCACUGUUGCCAGCACGUUAUGGUGGGGACUCAGUGGAGACCGCCGGGGUCAACUCGGAGGAAGGUGGGGAUGACGUCAAGUCAUCAUGCCCCUUAUGUCCAGGGCUUCACGCAUGCUACAAUGGCUGGUACAGAGAGUGGCGAGCCUGUGAGGGUGAGCGAAUCUCGGAAAGCCGGUCUCAGUUCGGAUUGGGGUCUGCAACUCGACCUCAUGAAGUCGGAGUCGCUAGUAAUCGCAGAUCAGCAACGCUGCGGUGAAUAAGUUCCCGGGGCU
rnacentral:rRNA from 1 species